rnacentral:misc_RNA from 1 species
GAUGAAGAACGUAGCGAAAUGCGAUAAGUAAUGUGAAUUGCAGAAUUCAGUGAAUCAUCGAAUCUUUGAACGCACAUUGCGCCCCUUGGUAUUCCGAGGGGCAUGCCUGUUCGAGCGUCAUUAUAACCCCUCAAGCUCAGCUUGGUGUUGGGGCCUGCCGCACGGGCAGCCCUUAAAAUCAGUGGCGGUGCCAUCUGGCUCUAAGCGUAGUAAUUCUUCUCGCUAUAGAGUCCCGGUGGAUGCUUGCCAUUAACCCCCAAUUUUCUAUGGUUCACCUCGGAUCAGGUAGGGAUACCCGCUGAACUUAAGCAUAUCAAUAAGCGGAGGA